rnacentral:rRNA from 1 species
AAUGAACGCUGGCGGCGUGCCUAACACAUGCAAGUCGGAUGUGCCGCAAGGUGCAUGGCAGACGGGUGAGUAACGCGUGGGGAACCUACCCUUUAGUGGGGAAUAACGUCUCGAAAGGGGCGAUAAUACCGCAUGAGACUCCUGGUUGUGAUACUGGGGGUGAAAGCCGGGGAUCGAAAGACCUGGCGCUAGAGGAGGGUCCUGCGUCUGAUUAGCUAGUUGGUGGGGUAAUGGCCUACCAAGGCGACGAUCAGUAGCCGGCCUGAGAGGGUGAUCGGCCACACUGGAACUGAGACACGGUCCAGACUCCUACGGGAGGCUG